rnacentral:tRNA from 1 species
GGAUUUGUGCCUGAAGUAUAGGGUUUCCUUGAUAGGGAAAAACAUAGGGGUUAAAGUCCCCUCAAAUCCU